rnacentral:lncRNA from 10 species
AGGAUGGUCUUGAUCUCCUGACCUUGUGAUCCGCCUGCCUUGGCCUCCCAAAGUGCUGGGAUUACAGGCGUGUUCAAUUUGGGCAUGUUAUGUCCAAACUACAUUAAAUACUUGAGAACUAUUUCUUUAAUAAUGGAUGAGUGAAGUCAGUUCAUUUCCAAGCUUCUUAUUUGUCUUAUCUGUGAAAGGCCUAUUUCUGUAGCAGCAUUCUUCACGUCCAUAUAAUAGGAUUAAAUAUGAAUG